GCGGAGUUUCACCAUAUCAGAGAAAGUGGCACACACCAGCAAGAUUUCACAGAUGUUGCAUGACAUUCUAAAUGUUUGAUCUUCAGUGUACGUGUGUGAGGAGAACUGUUCUUCAGGACAUGAAAUGAGGAUUUGGGCGAGCCAGACAUCACUGACACAAAC